rnacentral:rRNA from 1 species
GAUGAACGCUGGCGGCGUGCCUAAUACAUGCAAGUCGAGCGAACAGACGAGGAGCUUGCUUCUCUGACGUUAGCGGCGGAUGGGUGAGUAACACGUGGAUAACCUACCUAUAAGACUGGGAUAACUUCGGGAAACCGGAGCUAAUACCGGAUAAUAUAUUGAACCGCAUGGUUCAAUAGUGAAAGACGGUUUUGCUGUCACUUAUAGAUGGAUCCGCGCCGCAUUAGCUAGUUGGUAAGGUAACGGCUUACCAAGGCAACGAUGCGUAGCCGACCUGAGAGGGUGAUCGGCCACACUGGAACUGAGACACGGUCCAGACUCCUACGGGAGGCAGCAGUAGGGAAUCUUCCGCAAUGGGCGAAAGCCUGACGGAGCAACGCCGCGUGAGUGAUGAAGGUCUUCGGAUCGUAAAACUCUGUUAUUAGGGAAGAACAAAUGUGUAAGUAACUAUGCACGUCUUGACGGUACCUAAUCAGAAAGCCACGGCUAACUACGUG